rnacentral:rRNA from 1 species
UACAGAGGUCUCAAGCGUUGUUCGGAUUUAUUGGGCGUAAAGGGUGCGUAGGUGGCGCUGUAAGUCGGGUGUGAAAUUUCGGAGCUUAACUCCGAAACUGCAUUCGAUACUGCGGUGCUUGAGGACUGGAGAGGAGACUGGAAUUCAUGGUGUAGCAGUGAAAUGCGUAGAGAUCAUGAGGAAGACCAGUGGCGAAGGCGGGUCUCUGGACAGCUCCUGACACUGAGGCACGAAGGCCAGGGGAGCAAACGGG